AGCAACGAAGACCCAACGCAGCCAAAAAUAAUAAAAAAAAAAUAAAAAGAUAAACAUUAGGAAAUGCACUUGUGAAAAGCCAAAUGAUGAGGAAUGUAGACUAAUACCUUACUCCUCAUCUUACUCUCAUCCCCAGAGGUCUUUAAGUCUUCUGUGGAACUUGAAAGCACAGCAUCUCCCUGCUUGUAAACUUGGCCACAGUGAGCUGGCUCCAGAAGGCAAUAUUAUUAUCCAUUAUUUGGUAUUAAGUGUGCAAUAAUUUUCCUUUCUUCAAAUUAUAAUCCACAAGUCCUAUAUUAGCCAUCAGUGAAGAGACAAGGUGUCAGCUGUCUGUCUACCCUGGGAAGAAACUCAUAGCUUGAGUUUAUUCUUCAAAAUAUGGUGCAUGUAGAAUCCCCUCCACCUAUCCAACAUGAAGAUGGGUUCUUCAGGUAUUAGUGCCCUGAACAAGUUGCCCAGCAACUUCUGAGGUGCUGAGACUCAACCCUCUCCUGACCUGAUGGAUUUAGAAACAGAAAUGGGAACUGGUGCUUUGGCGAGAGAACCUAGCCAUAUCUCAGGUCCCAGGAGAGCGAAUGGCAUGAAGGAGGACAGCCUGGCUCACAAGGUCCACAGGUGUGAUUUAAACUUGCUUUUCCUAGAGUUCUCAUUGGUUCCUAAUCUGGUUCCUUGUGAAUUGUUCUUGUGUUUUCUGAAGGCUCAGGAGCCUAGCAAACACUGGCUUCCUAUGACGAUGGAGAAGAUGGAAAUCAAAAUCAGAAACAAAAGCGGCAAAGUGUGGAGGGAGCGGGGGAAGGAGAGAGAGGCUGGUGUUAGGAGGUAAAGAAAGAAGAAUAAUGGUGCCACCCAAGGAGGGCCUGGAUGAAUAGACCCAGCCAAGCGCAAGAGCAGAACUGGCCUUGAGAAAGGUGGAAAUCACCUGGCCUGUGAGGCCAGGAUUCACCGUAAAGCUAGGACAAAACAGAAAAGAAUCUACCAUAGCCCUGUAUGCUGUCAUUUAAUUGUUAACUGUGGGCCUAAUAUAACUGAAAAGCCAGUAUGCGUUUAUAACUCCAGUUCCCUAAGCUAAUCCUUAAACAGCAGUUUAAUACUGUUUGUUAAAAAAAAGAAAAAAAUCCGACAGUGACCUCCUAAUCCGGCCCAGCGGGUUGCCUCAUUAACUUGAAGCUGGCAUCGCUCUUGUUGCAGGACAGGAAUCCCUCUAGGCGCCACGGGGUGCAGGAAGUUGGAUCCAUUUUUUCAGCUUUUCCACAUGUCUUAGAAAUAUUAUUUGGUCAGUGACUUAAGAGGGUCAAGCCUUCCUAGAGAUUAAAAAAAAAGGGCCCUAUGUUGUUCUUUCUGAAAUCUCUUCAUUUCUCAACGAUGUGGUCAUAUGGUGAAAGAAAAUGGCAUUCUGGUGAAAUGCCUUACAAGCCCAAAGGCAGCCUUUGCUUCUUCUCUUCCUGUUUCGGUCUCACUAAAAUCUGCCAAAAACUCGAGCAGCAUCUUUGUUUGGUGGGGACUGUAGCUCUCUGCUGAGAAGCGACAGAAAUGCCACUGUUUCAAAUAAACAUCUUUGGCAGCAGCCAAUGCUGGCUCAUGCGAGGAGGGAUUCGAGAGACCCGAUUCUUCACAUACGAGUCAUUAAUGUCCAUGCCAGCAGAGUCAAGUCCAGAAAGGCAGCUUCUCUUGCCAAAAAGUUCCACUGAAUUUCCUAGGACCCCCGUGACCUAAUUUAAAGUGUUUUUCUUCUCUUUUUCGGGCUUUUUUUCAUACAUAAUAGUCUGGUAAGCUGUUAAUUCACAAUCAUUUUCACUUCUCUGCCACCCUUCAUCCCACGAUGAAAGAGUAUUAUUAAGCACCGUAAAGACACAUUAAAUAACAAAACUGUCCAACAACUGCACAUCAGAGCACUGAUCUCCAAUACCGGCACGGCUAAAAAAAUGGCUUAACUGUUUCUUUGCCCACAGCUAUUUCUGUACUUCAGCCACCUUGCAAGAAACGCAUAUCGGGAUGAAAGGACAUAUUAUUGAGAGGCUGUUAAUAUGGAAACGUGUAAAAAGAAAAGGGCAUAACUUUAAGACCUAAAUAACAGAAGUGAGAAAAUUGUCAUUUUGUGGCAGCCCUCUUUCAAACUUCUAUAUUAUUUAAAAAAGCAAUUCCAUUAUCUCCCACUUACCCAUCCAUUCUCAGCUAGUCAUAAAAAAAGGACACGCUCACCCAUGACAUUUUGCAGCUGCACUGCCUUUGUUGCUUGUUCCUCUUUCCGUUAACACCAAAUUGCAUUCUACAUCAGGUAAAGGAGUCGCCUGAGGAACUGAAAUAAUAAGCUGUCGUGAUCAGUGCCUUAGAAUAUCGGACUAUUCAAAAAGUGGAAUCUAGCCCUAUUAUGAAGAUGGCAUGAUUGCCCAUUUAAAAGCAAGAGCCUGCUUAUCUCUGUUGUAUUCUUUUAAAUACCCUAAUCUGUGUCAUCAACUCAAAACUCAAUGGAAACACCGCUUUGGUCACUGGAUACAAUCAUCUUCAAAAACACGAUGAUCUGAAUAUUUGAAAAUGAAUCAGACAGCCUGAAACUACAGUGUGAAGGUGAAUGGCCUUUUCCAAGCAAUAACUAGGAACAUGGAACCUGAACCAAAUGCUUCAAUAAGGGUGCUGGAACAAUUAGCAGCCUUUUAAGGUAACCUAUCCUUUUAAUUUCAUGUCAAAUUAUCAGAAAAAGCAGGAUAGCUGGCCUAAUUUACAUGCACAUAAUGUGGGUGGAUCUUUAAUAAGGAAAUUUCAUAUGUUAUCUGGUGUGCAUAAAUCACUUGAGUUUAAAUCAUAUUUUACAGUGAUAUAAACAGUAUUGUCCAUUCGUAUGCAAACAGCGCUAGGGGAUUAGUUACAACUACCAAUUCUUAAAGGAGAAGAAACAUUACAAGAGAAAUCUAUGUUUGGUUAUAACACCCAAUAUAAUGUCACCACAGAAGCCUUCAACUGCCCUUGCAGUAAGGAUGGCUACGAUUAAGAGGAUUCUAAUCAGGUCAAGAGGAAGGAGAGACAAAGGUGUAGGCAAGAUUGGUUUUCCCUUCUGCUGCUUUUCUUUGCCAUCCACUCUUUCACAGUGUGGGGGCAAAUGAAAAUAUUGAAGGGAAGGCAAUGAGCUGUAUCCUUUAAGAUUGGAAGAGCAUGCUAAAUAAAAAUCUCCAGCAUGAAAACACACCCUGGAAUUACAAGUUAAUGGUGCAGAACUUUCUAGAUGCAUUGCCACAAAAAUUAAAUACUGUGACGGUUGAUGGUAGAAUAUGUGAUGAAACAGUGAAAUUUGAAGAAACAGCUAUAGCUCUUCUGGAAAAAACCUUAUUUCUACAACUCCUUGUAAUUUAGAAUAAGUCGUGGCCAGUCAGACCUAGAAGGGGUCUUAAGAGGUGACUUAAUGAUCCAUUUCAUAGAUGAGAAAACUGAGGACCAAAAUGGUUGAUUAAUUCAAGGUCAGUGAUUAAUGAGAGGCAGAGAUAAGCAUAGUAUCCUGGUGCCUAUUUCUAAUUAAUUCUUGUCUUAUUUGAGUCUGCAAGAGUUGAAAGGACUAAGUUAAAGUACUAGAACAAUGGUGUGGGGGACCAUUUCGGAGGGUCCAUGAGGUCAAACUAUUUUCCUAUUAAUACUAAGAUGUGAUUUACCCUUUCAUUCUCAUUCCCUCUCAUGGGUGCCCAGUUGAAUACAGUCGUGUGCCAGAGCAUGCCAGACCAAUGUAGGUAGAAGCUGAUAUGAGAAUCCAGCUUCUUCAGACGAUAGGGACUGCAAAAAAGAAAAAUAAUGCCACUCUUCUCACUAAGCUUAUUUUUGUCCUGGGAAAGUUAUUUUCAUAAAAAUUUAUUUAACAUUUUAAUAGUUACUAUUUUAUAAAUGAAUGAGUAUUUUAAAAUUUUCGCAUUUUAAAAAUAUAAAAUAUUGAUAGAUAUAACCCACACACACAAAAGCUAUUUGGGAUCCUCAAUUUUUAGAAUGUAAAGGGAUUCAGAGAUUAAAAAGUUUAAGAACUGUGGCACUAAAACUUGAAAAAAUAGAAAGGAAACCAAGAUGAAAGUGGAAUUUUAUAAAAACUACUCUCCCUUUUUUUUUUUUUUUUGCGGUACGCGGGCUUCUCACUGUUGUGGCCUCUCCUGUUGCAGAGCACAG